AACGAACGCUGGCGGCAUGCCUAACACAUGCCAGUCGAACGAGACCUUCGGUUCUAGUGGCGCACGGGUGCGUAACGCGUGGGAACCUGCCUUUAGGUUCGGAAUAACUCAGAGAAAUUUGAGCUAAUACCGGAUGAUGUCUUCGGACCAAAGAUUUAUCGCCUUUGGAUGGGCCCGCGUUGGAUUAGCUAGUUGGGGGGGUAAAGGCCUACCAAGGCGACGAUCCAUAGCUGGUCUGAGAGGAGGCUCAGCCGCACUGGGACUGAGACACGGCCCAGACUUCUACGGGAGGCAGCAGUGGCGAAUAUUGGAAAAUGGGCGAAAGCCUGAUCCAGCAAUGCCGCGAAAGUGAUGAAGGCCUUAGGGUUGUAAAGCUCUUUUACCCGAGAUGAUAAUGACAGUACCGGGAGAAUAAGCUCCGGCUAACUACGUG
rnacentral:rRNA from 1 species